UUACAUGUACUUGCACUUGUACUCAUUUAUUUUAAUGGAUAAUCAUCCGUAUUUGUAAUUGUCAUACCCCAAAAUUCACCCUACCCCGAUACAAUUUUCAUCUGAUCCAUGACCCUACUGCACAUGCGUACAUUCAUUAUUUAAAAAAAUAAAAUAAAUAAAAAAUUAAAAAAUUGGGUAACCGGUUACCCUAAUCAGGGUAACCGAUUAACCAGACCAAAAAUUG
rnacentral:lncRNA from 1 species